GAAACGAUUUCAAAACAUUUCAAAACGCCCGCUUCCCUGCUCCUCUCUCUCUCUCUCUCUCUCUCUCUCUGGCGAUUCAGGAACGAUUUCACCGGAUCUGCUCCUCUCUCUGGUGAUUCAGGAACGAUUUCACCAGAUCUAUGAAGUUUCAACAGAUCGAUGAAGAUUCUGACCUCCUGGUUCGGUUUUCCGGCUUUUAUUGUCAUUUUGCAACAUUCGUCUAGGGAUGUGGAUGUGGAUGCUGGUGAUUGUGACAUUGUUCAAGUCAUUGAAAACAAUGGAGAUAUUUUAAAGCUUUUGCGCCUCACACAUGUAGGUGGAGGCUACAAAUCAGUUUUUAAAGGUGGUGAUAGAGUUGUGGAGAUUCCAAUUGAUGAGUCACACAGGUUCAUUUAUCAGCUCCCAGCUGUUCGUUUAACGGAUGAACAAGAUGGUCGAUUGAGAGGGUUUUGGUGAGUCACACAGGUUCAUUUUAAAGCUUUUUCCCCUCACACAUGUAGGAAAGAGAAGUAAAACGAUUCAUUGAAGAUCCACAUUUGUUUGUUUGUACAUUCACAGAAGGUGUGGGUUCUCAAUCAAGUGAUCUCAAGGUAAAAGAGAUAUUCAGUUACACUCGGGACGAGUUAACUACCGAAGACGUGUUAAUACUCGACUGUCACACUGUUUUAUGGUGACUAAGCGGAUUAUGGUUUUUGUUUGUUUUAGUUGACACAAUGGUAAGGAAGAGGAGAACUGAAGGUCCCAGUGGUGGUGAAAGCUCUAAGCCCCAGGAAGGAAGUGGUGCUCAAAGACAACCAGCAUAGCAGCAACAACAUUAGCAGCAGCAGCAAGGUGGCUAUCAGGGAAGAGGCUAGGGUGGUGGUUAUCAAGGGCGAGGGUAGCAGGGUGGUUACCAAGGCGGACACGGUGGCUAUCAAGGCGGACACGGUGGCUAUCAAGGCGGACACGGUGGCUACCAAGGUGGACAGCCUCAAGGGUGAAGAGGUUGGGCACAAAGGGGUUGACACGGUGGUCGAGGUGGCGGUGAUCCACAGCAGUAUGCUCCAAGAGGAACUGCGCCACCUCAGCGACGUGGUGGGCCUAGACCUCAGUAUUCUGGUGGACCUUCUAGGACGUCCGUUCCCGAGCUGUACCAAGCAACACAAGCUCCUCAACAGCCUGUGUCGACAUUGCAGCCAGCGACACCUGGAACACCAGUUGAAGUGCAUGCCGAGUCAUCAUCCACUAAGCAGAUGGUGGAUGAGUCAGCGGAUCAGUUGCAGCAGCUAUCAGUGCAGCAAGAAGAACCCAGCCAGUCUGUCGCACCUGCCUCCAGAAAAUCAUUGAGGUUUCCUUUGCGUCCGGGAAAAGGUCGCAUCAGAGAAAGUUGCAUUGUCAAAGCUAACCACUUUUUUGCUGAGCUGCCUGAUAAGGAUCUACACCAAUACGAUGUGACAAUCAAUCCUGAAAUGACAUCACGCAGUGUGAACCGAGCCGUAAUGGCACAGCUUGUGAAUGAGUCGAUUUUGGCUAUGUUUUAUUUUUAACAGACAUAAAAGAAAUUUAGUUUAACAGGAAACGGGUUGAAUGGAUUGAACGGUUCAUAGUCGCCCAAGUUUUUAUGUACCUGAUAGACACAUUGCAAGGAGGUGCUUCAAGAAGUUAUCUAUAAUCUUUCUUAAGAUAAAGUUAGAAGAUGGGCGUAGGGUUGAGUGCCUUCAAGCGUAAUGGUGUUGGGCCAGACUUGAUCAUUCAGAAUCUGCAGACGGUGACGAUAUAUCAGAGUGGAAUAACACGUGGUUGAAGCGAUUUCUGGUGGAUUAUAUGCUGCGAAUGUCACACUAUGACACUCUCACAAAGCUUGCUGAAAGCAGUAACUUACAGGAUCAUGUUGAUAUUGAGAUCUGUUUAUGAAGCCAAUAGUUAUUGAUGCUCUGCAUAAUAAGGAGGUAGCCCCUGCUCUAGCCUGGUAUGCUGAUAACAAGUCUAGGUUAAAGAAAUUCAUGGUACUUUUUAGAGUUAUAACUUGUAAUUGCUAUUGACAUAAGAAGGAUGCAAUAUGUUUGUUAUUUUGGUUUUUUCUUAUGUACAUUUUUGUUUGUAUUAUUGGUUAACUGAAUACACUGGAGCUUAAAUUUUCCACA